rnacentral:lncRNA from 1 species
AUGGGGGGGGGCACGUCCUUCCUAGCCGGGCACCCCGCACCCAGUCCUCCUCUCACGGCCCCAUCCGCAGAGGGACGCUGCAGAGCCGGCACGGCGGGUGGCACGCUGCCCCACGGCUGCGGCCCCUUUGGGCGCAGAGCAGCGCAUUCGCAGGGUGCCGCGGCACCAGCGCCCGGCGGGGCACGGAGCACGGCCGUCCCCACGGCACCGCGGGACCCACAGAUGGAGGACAGAGGAGGUGCUGGGACGGCGGCUGCGCCCCGUGCUGGGUGUGCAGUGGGAGAUCCGGGCAGCCGGGGGGUGGCGGUGCCAGCGCUGGUGCGGGGUAGCGCGUUGCGGGAGCUCACCCGUCACCACCGCUCUCUUGGCAGGCAGCUCACAGCCGGCCGCGGCGCGACGGAGCCCAGCACCUGCGCGUCCGUUGCUCGGCACAGGGGGCCGGGCCUCGGCGCUCCGGGCACCCCUCUAGUCCGGCACGGCGCGGCACCCCUUCCCGGAGGUGCUGGGGGAUUUGGGUACCCAGGUGCCCGCGCGGGAACCCUGCCUGCAGCCACGGAGCACUGUCCUCAGACCUCACGCUGCUCCCGGUGCCCGCAGGGAUUCACAGGAGCGGCCGCACAGGCUGGGGCUCAUCCAUGGGCAGCAGGGCAGGGCCAGCACCAAGCUGUCAGGGCUGCGCUGCCCAGCCGCUGCUCCGGAGGGUGGGCACAGACGGAGGCAGAAUCCUUCCCAUCACUGCCCGAGAACCCUUUCCCUUCCUCUUGGCACCCCCCUUCCAGGGACCUCCGGGGCACAGCCUCACCCCCCCAGCUCGGUGCAUCCCACAGAGGGCUCAGCACCGGGGCAGGCAGCAGGGCAGCGCUGGUGCUCGUGGGGCAGCCGGGAAGCUGCCGUGCCAGCUGUCAGCGCGAGCGCGGCAGACGCAACCUGCCCAGGGCUGUUUGUUCUGGCUGGGUGCCACGCGGGGCUGGCACUACAUCAAACCUGGCGGAGCCUGGCAGGUGCCGGUGGGAGGGGUCGGGGCGCUGCUGGUGA